GAGCGGACGUUUUUGAAGCUUGCUUUAAAAACGUUAGCGGCGGACGGGUGAGUAACACGUGGGCAACCUACCUUAUCGACUGGGAUAACUCCGGGAAACCGGGGCUAAUACCGGAUAACAUCUAGCACCUCCUGGUGCCGGAUUAAAAGAGGGCUUCUUGCUCUCACGAUGAGAUGGGCCCGCGGCGCAUUAGCUAGUUGGAGAGGUAACGGCUCCCCAAGGCGACGAUGCGUAGCCGACCUGAGAGGGUGAUCGGCCACACUGGGACUGAGACACGGCCCAGACUCCUACGGGAGGCAGCAGUAGGGAAUCUUCCGCAAUGGACGAAAGUCUGACGGAGCAACGCCGCGUGAGUGAUGAAGGGUUUCGGCUCGUAAAGCUCUGUUAUGAGGGAAGAACACGUACCGUUCGAAUAGGGCGGUACCUUGACGGUACCUCAUCAGAAAGCCACGGCUAACUACGUGCCAGCAGCCGCGGUAAUACGUAGGUGGCAAGCGUUGUCCGGAAUUAUUGGGCGUAAAGCGCGCGCAGGCGGCCUUUUAAGUCUGAUGUGAAAUCUUGCGGCUCAACCGCAAGCGGCCAUUGGAAACUGGGAGGCUUGAGUACAGAAGAGGAGAGUGGAAUUCCACGUGUAGCGGUGAAAUGCGUA
rnacentral:rRNA from 2 species